ACCUGGGUGGCUUAGUUGGUUGAGCAUCUGACUUCAGCUUGGGUCAUGACCUCAUGGUUCGUGGGUUCGAGCCCCACAUCAGGCU
rnacentral:tRNA from 1 species